GAGCUAAUAGUUUGGAUGGCUGUGCCUUGAGGAAAUACAGUAAUCAGAUGUCAUUUCAUCAGGCCAUAGCUGUCCAAAUUGUUUUUGCUCG
rfam:Caenorhabditis tropicalis strain JT1373 unplaced genomic scaffold Scaffold629, whole genome shotgun sequence.